GACGAACGCUGGCGGCGGGCUUAACACAUGCAAGUCGAACGGAAAGGCCCUGCUUGUGUGGGGUGCUCGAGUGGCGAACGGGUGAGUAACACGUGAGUAACCUGCCCUUGACUUUGGGAUAACUUCAGGAAACUGGGGCUAAUACCGGAUAGGAGCUCCUGCUGCAUUGUGGGGGUUGGAAAGUUUCGGCGGUUGGGGAUGGACUCGCGGCUUAUCAGCUUGUUGGUGGGGUAGUGGCUUACCAAGGCUUUGACGGGUAGCCGGCCUGAGAGGGUGACCGGCCACAUUGGGACUGAGAUACGGCCCAGACUCCUACGGGAGGCAGCAGUGGGGAAUAUUGCACAAUGGGCGGAAGCCUGAUGCAGCAACGCCGCGUGCGGGAUGACGGCCUUCGGGUUGUAAACCGCUUUCGCCUGUGACGAAGCGUGAGUGACGGUAAUGGGUAAAGAAGCACCGGCUAACUACGUG
rnacentral:rRNA from 1 species